ensembl:lncRNA
CCGGUCUCCCUACGGCCCUACAGACUGAGGAGGCCCUGUUUACCCACGUUUUCCGGCACUACGGGGUGCCUGAGGACAUCGUUUCGGGGUCCCCAGUUCACGUCCAGAGUUUGGAGGGCGUUUAUGGAGCAUCUGGGGGUGUUCGCACCGGGGGACCGGGUCUGGCUCUCGACCCGAAACCUGCCCCUCUGUCUGCCCUGCCGGAAGCUGGGGCCGCAGUGUGUGGGGCCAUUUAAAGUCCUGAGGAGGAUAAACGAGGUGUGUUAUAGGUUACAGCUUCCUUCUUACUAUCGUAUUAACCCCUCGUUUCAUGUGUCUCUCCUCAGGCCGGUGGUAGCUGGUCCCCUGCAGGAAGGUGAGGUGCCGGAGGUCCCUCCGCCCCCUCCGCCCCCCUCUGUACAUCGAGGGGUCCCCGGGUGAGAGGCCUACAGUACCUCGUGGACUUGGAGGGGUAUGGUCCGGAGGAAAGGUGCUGGGUACCGGUGGAGGACAUCUUGGAUCCAUCACUACUGAGGGAGUUCCACCGCCUCCAUCCGGAUCGCCCUGCGCCUUGCCCUCCGGGUCGCCCUCGAGCCCAGCGGCGGCGCGCUGCAGGAGCUGCGCGUCAGGUGUGGGGUACUGUCACGACUUCCACCGAAGGUGGCUCCCCUGCCUGUCCGGGCGGCGGUCGUCGUCGCCGGUCUACUAGCUGCCACCGAUCCCCUUUUCCUUUUCUCUUCUCUGUUAGUCUUGGUUGGUUGCAUGUUAUGUUCACUGUCUGUUUGGUGCCCAGUUUUGGGUUGGACAUAUUUGUUUUCGCCUGUUGUUUUUGGCGUUACUUUUGGAUACCGUAAUAAAGUUUGGUUUCUCCCAUUAUCCUCUGCUCUCUGUGAUUGACUCCGCACCCACCACUCCUGGCUGUGUGACAGUUAUGGGGUAUUGUGUGUAGGUCAGUCACACAAAAUCUCAAGUACAGGCUUCAUAUCAGCAUGGCCUUUUGGAAUAUUCACUAACACUGAUAUGGCAGAAGCACAUUUUAGAUAACAGCCAUAAUGAUGACACUCCUAUUCUGUCAUUGUAAUGAUGUAUCUUAAGAUACCUAAUUAUGAGCUCUGCAUAGCAUGACAUGAAUGCGCUAUAGAUAUGGUAAGGAUAUAUUUCAUGAACCUUUAAUAAUGCUGUUUGGACCUGUCAUAACAUGUUUAUGAAAUGCUUCUAGAUGUGUAAUAACUGCGUUAUGGAUAUGUAGUCUGUGUAAAUUGUUACUGUAGCAUCAUGAGAAAAAUAUUGAGCACAUCAACUUGUUAAGUAGGCCUACCUUUGGCAAAGAGGUUCUGUUUGUGUGUUCAGCUGUGACAAGGGAAUGCUGUGGAGGCUGUGUUAAUAAAACUGCUUUGACUGUGAAUCAGAGACGUAGGAGGUCAGAAGGUGUGUGCGUUGGAGUGCUGUGUAUGAAUCACUUAGAACUCUUGUUGAAAAGCUGAGGGUCACUGAGUGCAGGAGGGACGAGGAGAAUUAUCACUCAGGGUUAGCUUUGGCCUCUCUCGACUCACGCAUCCUCAAUCUAAUAGAGAAGUGUCGCGGAGGAACUGUAUGAGUCAACGCACUCUACAACCCUUUCCUCUACUCAUGUGAUGUCUCAUUAUGUACACCGGCUUCAGGUCAGAUAUUCUUUCUCCAUUGCGAUACUCAAUUUUGUCAAAAACUUGUCAAGAUAAGAAUACAGCUAAAAACUGCACAGAAAUCUGAAACGGUCAUAGUGAUCCAGCUCCAUUGUGACUACAGACUUUAAUCUGGAUCCAGAAAUGCAAUCAAUGCAACACUGCUCAGUUUGUGGGCAAGCACCACAUUUGGUUGACAUCAACAAGUCUACACUCUUAGAAAAAAGGGUUCCUAAAGGGUUCUUCGGCAGUCCCCAUUGGAGAAUCGUUUUUGGUCCCAUGUAAAACUCCUUUUGGUUCCAUGUAGAACCCUCUGUGGAAAGGGUUCUACAUGGACCUCCAAAGUGUUCUACCUGGGACCAAAAGGGUUCUUCAAAGGAUUCUCCUAUGGGGACAGCCAAAGAACCACUUUAGGUUCUAGAUUUUUCUAAGAGUGUAGACCAGGUCUCUCCAACAAUGUUCCUGGAGAGCUACCCUCCUGCAGGUUUUCCCUCCAACCUCAAUUUUAACUGAACUGUUUCAGUUUAUCAACCAGCUAAUUAUCAGAAUCAGGUGUGCUAGAUUAUGGUUGGAGCGAAAACCUACAGGACGGUAGCUCUUCAGGAACAGGGUUGGAGAGCCCUGGUGUAGACAGUAGUACAGUACAGUACACAGUUGAUCUAACGAAUAACCAAUCAGUUAAACUGUUACAGUUUGUUCUUUUGAAGCCAAGUGGAUCGCCCUGCGAACCCAAUGGCAUGCAUAGAGCUUUUGAUGUUUGAGAUGGUUUCAUUUUGUUCAUAGGGCACAAUGUUCUGAACUGAUCCAGGGCCAGAAGCCAUCAAGCCAAAUACUCUGAGCCUGAUGCUUUGUCACCCACAGGUCACUGCUCUGAGAUCAGUUCAAUGGACGUGCUACAUUUCAAGGAGAGAAGACAAAGAGCAUGUGCUCUUGACCACUCCCACAAGAGGUCGCCGUGUCUUGGAGCACUCCACUCUCAGCCAGCACUGCAGGAGGUGAUGGACGUGGAGGGAGUGUGCCUGGAGGAAGAGGAGGAGGAGAAGGUGAGGGAGGUCACCAUCACCCAUGGAGAGGACUCGGAGCUCAGCGUCAGUUUCCAAGGGUACGCGGCUGAGCUCCGGCAGUGCCAGAGUCGAAUGAAGACCUCCCAGGUGCCCCUCAACACCCACGAUCAAUCAGAAGGGAACGAAGACUCCAAGACUGACAUAUACAAGGCCACCAUUGUGUGAGCUCUGAGGCUGACCAACCCUCACCAGCACUUUCCAAGCUUGAUUCACGGUCUGUUCAAACAGAAACUUACUUGAUGAACAAGGGACUUUUACUGUAAAAAACUGUCGUUUUUCAUGCCAGAACUGAUGUAUAUGUAUAAUAAUUGUAUGGUGAUAGAUAUUGUAUUAUUGAUCAUCACUGACUAUGCCGUACUGUUUAGUGGGUAUAUUCAUUUUCAAUAAGUGAUGAAAAGGAAAAUAAUUGCCAGUUAAAAUGUAUGAACAAUUUGGUUAUAACCUAUUGUUUGGAAAUGUAUUAGGAGAUACCUUGUUUUAGAUGGAUGCUGAUAAUACAGGUACUGUAAAACAGGGGCUAUAGAAUUAAGCCUUUUUCAGGUAGGUUAUAGGAUUCACACAUUGUAGGAACAUGAGAAACUCCUUGCAAUUCUAGUGCACGUUACUGUAUUAUUCUGGUCACACACUGAGUGUAAAAAACAUCAUGAACACCUGCUCUUUCCAUAAUAAUAGACUGACCAGAUGAAUCCAGGUGGAAAGCUAUGAUCUCUUAUUGAGGUCACUUGUUCAAUACAUUUCAAUCAGUGCAGAUGAAGUGGAUGAUGCAGGUUAAAUAAUGAUUUUUAAGCCUUGAGACAAUUGAGACAUGGAUUGUGUAUGUGUACCAUUCAGAGGGUGGAUGGGUAAGACAAAAUAUUUAAGUGCCUUUGAACAGGGUAUGGUAGUAGGUGCCAGGUGCCAGGUUUGUGUCAAGAACUGCAGGUGUUCUUAAUAUUUUGCACACUCAGUGUACACUGUUUCGUGGUGAACAAAAUAUGAUGCCUCUUCAUGUCUGUACAUUUGAUCUAUUAUGGUCUGGCUUGAUGUUUGGUUGUUCAAAUUCCACUCAAUAAACAUUCCCACCUUUGUAAUGCCAG